rnacentral:rRNA from 1 species
GACGAACGCUGGCGGCGUGCUUAACACAUGCCAGUCGAACGCUGAAGCUUGGUGCUUGCACUGGGUGGAUGAGUGGCGAACGGGUGAGUAAUACGUGAGUAACCUGCCCUUGACUCUGGGAUAAGUCUGGGAAACUGGGUCUAAUACUGGAUACGACAUGUCACCGCAUGGUGGUGUGUGGAAAGGGUUUUACUGGUUUUGGAUGGGCUCACGGCCUAUCAGCUUGUUGGUGGGGUAAUGGCUCACCAGGGCGACGACGGGUAGCCGGCCUGAGAGGGUGACCGGCCACACUGGGACUGAGACACGGCCCAGACUCCUACGGGAGGCAGCAGUGGGGAAUAUUGCACAAUGGGCGGAAGCCUGAUGCAGCGACGCCGCGUGAGGGAUGACGGCCUUCGGGUUGUAAACCUCUUUCAGCACGGAAGAAGCGAAAGUGACGGUACGUGCAGAAGAAGCGCCGGCUAACUACGUG